rnacentral:rRNA from 1 species
GACGAACGCUGGCGGCGUGCUUAACACAUGCAAGUCGAACGGAAAGGCCUGUCCUUCCUUGUGUUGGACGGGUACUCGAGUGGCGAACGGGUGAGUAACACGUGAGUGAUCUGCCCCCAACUUGGGCAUAAGCCUGGGAAACUGGGUCUAAUUCCCGAUAGGACUGCAGGGUGGUGCCUGUGGUGGAAAACGAUUUUCUAGUGGUUGGGGAUGAGCUCGCGGCCUAUCAGCUUGUUGGUGGGGUAAUGGCCUACCAAGGCGGCGACGGGUAGCCGGCCUGAGAGGGUGGACGGCCACAUUGGGACUGAGAUACGGCCCAGACUCCUACGGGAGGCAGCAGUGGGGAAUAUUGCACAAUGGGCGGAAGCCUGAUGCAGCGACGCCGCGUGGGGGAUGACGGCCUUCGGGUUGUAAACUCCUUUCGACCGCGAGGAAGCCGCCUGGUUGGAAGGGUGGUGACGGUAGUGGUAGAAGAAGCACCGGCUAACUACGUG